rnacentral:rRNA from 1 species
GAUGAACGCUGGCGGCGUGCCUAAUACAUGCAAGUCGAACGGAGAUUGUAGCAAUACGGUCUUAGUGGCGAACGGGUGAGUAACGCGUUGGUAACCUGCCCCGAAGCGUGGGGAUAACGGUCCGAAAGGACCACUAAUACCACAUGUGAUCCCGAGGAAUAGAUACUUGGGAUGAAAGGAGCAAUUCGCUUCGGGAGGGACCUGCGUCCCAUCAGCUAGUUGGUAGGGUAACGGCCUACCAAGGCGAUGACGGGUAGGGGACCUGAGAGGGUGGCCCCCCACAAUGGAACUGAAACACGGUCCAUACACCUACGGGUGGCAGCAGUAGGGAAUAUUGGUUAAUGUGCGAAAGCGCGAACCAGCAACGCCGCGUGUGCGAUGAAGGCCUUCGGGUCGUAAAGCACUUUUGCAGGGAGAGGAAGGACGGUACCUGCAGAAUAAGUCUCGGCUAACUACGUG